rnacentral:lncRNA from 1 species
UGCUUCCAAAACACUUGCACAGUGAGUUGUUUGCAGGCCGGGCACAGGAACCGUAGUCUCCUCAUGCCAGCCCACCUGUAAAUAAAGGAAAGUUUUAUACAAUCACAGACUCUGAAACUGGAAAGAGGGAGCGGUGGUAUCAUGUUGGGAAGGCUGGUGUCUACUGUGCGGUACCAUUCCAGACAUCAUUAAUCAAUUGUGGAAUAUGACACUGCUAACAUGGCAGGGGUUCUGCUGGUUCUGGUAGUUUUUCAUCAUCUGGAAGAAACAACAGUGAUCAAGAUGUUGAUGACAAUGAAGAAGCCAAAGGAGACUCUAGAAUAAGAAAAACACACGUGUCACCAUGUAAGACAUAAUGGCUUCUGCAAUGGACUUGGAAUUUUUGAUCCAUUAGAAAGACUCUUGGUCUCUGACUUGGCUCCAGUGGCUUCACUUCUGGUAGCCAAACCACUGAACUCUGGGUUUCAAACACUGGAUCAGGUUACCAGUGGAUAACGCUUUCAGGAGAACACCACCACUUCCCAGUUUUUCUGGAGUCAGUGUCUGUGUUUCUCUGAGAUAUGAAUCCCUGAUGCCUUGUACAGAACCCCAGAUUCAGAGCUUACAGGAGAGGGAAGUGUUACCCUGGCUAGCAUGGGAUCUUGGGGAUCAGUUAAUCUGAGGCCAGCCUUGCUAGUUCA